GACGAACGCUGGCGGCGUGCCUAACACAUGCAAGUCGAACGGAGAUAUUAAUGAAGCUUGCGAUUUAAUAUCUUAGUGGCGGACGGGUGAGUAACGCGUGGGUAAUCUGCCCAUAAGUGGGGGACAACAGUUGGAAACGACUGCUAAUACCGCAUAUCCUGAUUUAUUAGGAAAGAUGGCCUCUGAAUAUGCUGUCGCUUAUGGAUGAGCCCGCGUCUGAUUAGCUAGUUGGUGGGGCAAUGGCCUACCAAGGCGACGAUCAGUAGCCGGCCUGAGAGGGUGAACGGCCACACUGGGACUGAGACACGGCCCAGAUUCCUACGGGAGGCUG
rnacentral:rRNA from 1 species